rnacentral:rRNA from 1 species
CUGGCGGCGUGCUUAACACAUGCAAGUCGAACGGGCUUAAAGAGGAGCUUGCUUUCUUUAAGUUAGUGGCGGACGGGUGAGUAACGCGUGAGCAACUUGCCUUGGACAGUGGAAUAACACAGGGAAACUUGUGCUAAUACCGCAUGAAGUGCGGAGAGGGCAUCCUUUCUGUACCAAAAGGAAGCAAUUCCGGUCUGAGAUGGGCUCGCGUCCGAUUAGAUAGUUGGUGAGGUAACGGCCCACCAAGUCAACGAUCGGUAGCCGGACUGAGAGGUUGGCCGGCCACAUUGGGACUGAGACACGGCCCAGACUCCUACGGGAGGCAGCAGUGGGGAAUAUUAGGCAAUGGGGGCAACUCUGAACCCUAGCAACGCCGCGUGAAGGAUGAAGGUUUUCGGAUUGUAAACUUCUUUGGCAGGGGAUGAUAAUGACGGUACCCUGAGAACAAGCCACGGCUAACUACGUGCCAGCCGCAGC